rnacentral:lncRNA from 1 species
GGAUAGAUGAGUCUUGAGUCUACGGUGUGGAGACACCGGAGUGAGAGUAUAGAUAUUCAUUAAGAAUGAGAGUACUGAGCGUAACCACCUCGAGUAGUCAUAAGGAAGUCUACCUUUUCGUCAGUGACUGGCUCGAUGCUGCAGCUGUGUGUCUAGUUCUUUGACCUGAGGUGCAUCGACAGUUUACCUUAAGUGUGUUAUAGUUUGACUACACAAUAACUCGAUCUUCUAGCUAUUCAAAACCCUGAGGUGUAUGUUGGCUGUAGCAU